CUAUCACGUUGAAACACCGGUUCUCGUAGGAUCACCGAAGUUAAGCAACGUCGAGCCUUGUCGUUAUCUAGAUGAAUGACCGCAUGGGAAUGCCAAGUGGUGUAAG